rnacentral:tRNA from 1 species
GGGGUUGUGGCUCAGUGGUAGAGGGCUUGCCUAACACGCAUGAGGCACUGGGUCUGAUCCCCAGCACCACA